AUUGAACGCUGGCGGCAGGCUUAACACAUGCAAGUCGAGCGGGGGAAGGUAGCUUGCUUCCGGACCUAGCGGCGGACGGGUGAGUAAUGCUUAGGAAUCUGCCUAUUAGUGGGGGACAACAUCUCGAAAGGGAUGCUAAUACCGCAUACGUCCUACGGGAGAAAGCAGGGGAUCUUCGGACCUUGCGCUAAUAGAUGAGCCUAAGUCGGAUUAGCUAGUUGGUGGGGUAAAGGCCUACCAAGGCGACGAUCUGUAGCGGGUCUGAGAGGAUGAUCCGCCACACGGGGACUGGGACACGGCCCAGACUCCUACGGGAGGCAGCAGUGGGGAAUAUUGGACAAUGGGGGGAACCCUGAUCCAGCCAUGCCGCGUGUGUGAAGAAGGCCUUAUGGUUGUAAAGCACUUUAAGCGAGGAGGAGGCUACCUGGAUUAAUACUCUAGGAUAGUGGACGUUACUCGCAGAAUAAGCACCGGCUAACUCUGUGCCAGCAGCCGCCGUAA
rnacentral:rRNA from 1 species